UCCCAUGGAUUCAGAUACACACCAUUAUGAUAUGCUCAAUAGUCUUGAUCUCACCAAGAUCAGUUGGGGUAUACUUGUGAAGGUAGACCAUAUUUAUCCUUGCGUUGGUGACGAAGUUUAUGAGCUUGAUCUCGGUUACCCUAAGCAUGCAUGGUCCAUCAACCUUAUGGUAUUUGAUGCUCAGGUAUUUUUACUUUAACCAUUUAUAUUUGUAUUCUCAUAGAUCGAUUAUACAUUUAACUUUUCUUUCUUUCCUUAAAAUAUCUUAAGGGUACUCGAAUGGAAGUGUUGAUUAAGGGCCCUGAGAUGCUGGCUUGGUUUAAGAACCGGUUUAAAGUUAAUAAAACUUAUGACAUCACAAACCUAUAAGUGAACCAUGGAGGUCAACCUGUUCAUAGGAAGUAUCACAUUUCAUUGUUGCCGUGUUCUGAAAUACGUGAACACUCCUCUAAUUUCCUUGGCCACAACUUCAAGCUCUGUUUAGUUCAUGAACUCAAGGCAAGUAAUUUCCCUUCUUCCCGUCUAAUCGGUGAGUAAUUUUUCAUUCCUUUUAUGUUAGUAUGUUUUAUGUCAUAUAGUCAUUAGUGGUCAUAUCACACUUAUUAAUUCGUCUUGUAGAUGUUGCUGGUCUUUGUGUGCAUGUUGGAGACCUUGAAUGGGAGAACGUCGAAGAUCAUGAUAACCUGUUGACAAGGAAGCUGUGGAUAGUUCUGUAGGAUAUACAGUGGGACAUGAUUCCUUGUGUCUUACAAGGAGAUUGUGCAGUGGAUGCAUGGACAACAUACCAAGCAUGCAAGGAUCAUGAAAGCCCACUUUAUGUAGUCAUCCAAUAUGCUAUUUUGUUUAGAGGCCUCGGGAGCAAUCGUCUAGAAGAGUUCAAGAAUGCUACUAAAGUCUAUUGGUAUACCGACCCUCUACACCCUGACCUUGCUGCCAGCAACUUAGCUAUGUGAAGAGGAUUUUAUCUUUAGUCAAGACUUGUGUAGGUUAUUAGUAGUUUUUACUUCUUUUAUGUUUUUCAUCUUUUAUCUUUUUGUUAUCUAGGUGUUUUGUAUGGUUUAGACCAACAUAGUGUCUCCACUAAGCAUUGUAAUUUUAUUACAUGGUAUAGGCCAUGUUAUAUAUUAAGAGUAGAUAAUCAGUACUUUAGCCAAUGGCUUGACUAUUACCAAUUCACUAUUCUGAAUUUAUAUAGUUGCUUAUU